rnacentral:lncRNA from 1 species
CCCCUAAUCCCCCGCCUUCCGGCUCCGGCGGCGACGCUCGCUUCUUGCCGCCGCCGCGCUGCCGGUGUCAGCCUCCCUCGGGAGACUCCAUUUGCUCUCAGAUUGGUCUGGUCGCCGCGAAGUCAGGCAGAGAGCGAUGUCCCCGGCCCGUGGACUGGUGUCCCCCAGGCCAAGCGCCCUCUCCCUCGCUGGCUGGCUUCGGUGGUGACAUCCUGGUUGCUGGCGACCACGGAGGAAUCCGGGCUCCCUCUCCAUGAGCAAAGACGUCCCGCGUUUCUGCGGGGAAAGGCCCUCGCUAACACGGCUGCUCUCUGACCUCUUAAUUUCAGGAGGUUUUCGGAGGCUUGGAGUGCCUAUACAGCCCCCGACAGGAACUGCUUCUGUUGGCCCAUCGAGGAUCAUCUUUCACCAGGAUUAUCGUAACAUCUUCACUGAGCCUUCCACCCCAUAGUCUCUACCAUGAGUCCUGAUUUCUGCCAAUGAAGUUUUGUUUUUUUUUUUUUUUUUUUACGCUUUCUUUAAUCAUGUGACACCACUUCUGGUCAGCCUUUUCCCUUUUCAGUUGCCAAACACAUUAGGUGGAAGUUUGUGUCGUGUUAAAGUACGGAGUUUCUUGCUUGUCCACUCUCAGCCUUGUUUGCACUGCUCACUUCUGUUCAGCUUGCCUUCUCCUGCUUGCCUAUGAUUUCCAUUAUCACUCUCUUGCGUAACCUGUAGCAGUCCUUGCCCGGGGAGGCAGCAUUCCAUACAGUGCACUGCCUGACAAGGACAGCAGUCAGGGGGUGAGUUUUCCCAUUAUAAUUUCUUAUUAAGUUUGCAAGUCCUGUCUUAAAAACUUUGUUCCCUAGCACAUUUCUCUAAAUUCGUCCACCAGUGACUUAGUUCCUUUAACAUAGAGCCUCACCCAUAGGAUGGCAAAAACAAUUAAGUACACAAUAGGACUGUUUUAGAGACCUUGCUAAUACAGUAUGGGUUAUCAUCACCAUUGAGAUUACAGUUCAUGAAAAGAUCUUAAACUUAGGAGAAGCAAGAUAGAAGAUAGGAUUAAUUGGAGCUAGUCUUUGUUGUUUUGAGUUUGUAAAUUUUAAAAGAGCAAAGUGAAGAGAGUCACAUAGGCUUGGCCUGGAAAUUGGCCAACACACUGUCCAUCUAGGUCCUAGUGGGGCAGGAAAGGGAUCUUAAAACACCAUUUUUUAAAUCUCAUUGUGUCCAAAUCUAACUUAUUAAAGGUCUUGUUGUAGUAAUCCUCUAAAAUAUUAGGUACAAUGUUGGGGAAACGAAAGCGUGUGGUGUUGACAAUUAAGGACAAGCUUGACAUUAUUAAGAAAUUGGAGGAGGGCAUCUCUUUCAAAAAGCUUUCCGUGGUAUAUGGAAUUGGUGAAUCCACAGUUCGUGAUAUUAAAAAGAACAAAGAAAGGAUAAUAAACUAUGCCAACAGUUCAGAUCCUACAAGUGGGGUAUCCAAACGUAAAUCUAUGAAGUCGUCCACAUAUGAAGAACUUGACAGAGUUAUGAUAGAGUGGUUUAACCAACAGAAAACAGAUGGAAUUCCAGUGUCGGGAACGAUUUGUGCAAAACAAGCCAAGUUCUUUUUUGAUGCUCUGGGGAUGGAAGGUGAUUUUAAUGCAUCCUCUGGCUGGCUGACUCGAUUCAAGCAGCGCCAUGGUAUUCCAAAGGCUGCUGGUAAAGGAACAAAAUUAAAAGGAGACGAAACUGCUGCCAGUGAGUUUUGUGGUAACUUUCAGGAAUUCGUUGAGAGAGAGAAUCUACAACCAGAACAAAUUUAUGGUGCUGAUCAAACUGGAUUGUUCUGGAAAUGUCUACCAUCAAGGACAUUAGCUCUUGAAACUGAGCAAAGUUCUUCUGGUUAUAGAUCAAGCAGAGAGAGAAUCAUUAUUAUGUGUUGUGCAAAUGCCACUGGUUUACACAAACUUAAUCUUUGUGUUGUGGGAAAAGCAAAAAAACCUCGUGCAUUCAAAGGAGCUGAUCUUUCAAACCUUCCUGUCACUUAUUUCAGUCAAAAAAGUGCAUGGAUAGAACAUUCUGUUUUCAGACAGUGGUUUGAAAAAUACUUUGUGCCACAGGUACAGAAGCAUUUGAAAUCCAAGGGGCUUCUAGAAAAAGCAGUGCUCCUUUUGGACUUUCCUCCAGCACAUCCAAAUGAAGAAUUGUUGAGUUCAGAUGAUGGCAGAAUAAUUGUGAAAUAUUUACCACCAAAUGUCACAAGUCUCAUUCAACCUAUGAGCCAAGGAGUUCUAGCCACAGUAAAAAGAUACUACCGAGCAGGACUUCUCCAGAAAUACAUGGAUGAAGGAACUGACCCCAGAAUGUUCUGGAAGAACUUGACAGUGUUAGAUGCAAUUUAUGAAGUGUCAAGAGCUUGGAACAUGAUAAAGUCAAGUACCAUAACCAAAGCAUGGAAAAAACUUUUCCCUGGCACUGAAGAGAAUUCAGGCAUGAACAUUGAUGAAGGAGCCAUUUUAGCAGCUAACUUAGCAACAGUUUUACAGAACACAGAAGACUGUGAACAUGUUGACCUUGAGAAUAUUGAUCAGUGGUUUGACUCUCGGAGUAAUGAUUCAAGCUGUCAGGUCCUAACUGACAGUGAAGGUGUGGAGGACCAGGCCAGGCCUGCCGAGACCAAGCCUUCCAGUAAGACUAGAAAAACAGAACUGAAUCCAGAGAAGCAUAUCAGCCAUAAAGCUGCACUUGAAUGGACCGAAAAUUUACUAGAUUAUCUAGAACAACAAGAUGACAUGCUUCUGUCUGAUAAACUGGUAUUGCGAAGGCUUCGAACCAUAAUAAGAAGAAAACAGAAGAUCCAGAAUAACAAAAGUCAUUAAUAAGGCUCUUAAGAGUUUCAGUGUAUUUGCAUCUGUGUGACUUUAUCUGCAGUGGAACUUAAUUUCUUAUUUGAAUUGCUGUGGAUUUCAAAGCCAAAUGCAUUUUAUAAAUGACUUUAGAAUUAGAUGCCAUUUUGGAUUACGUAAAUUACUGCACUUGAAUGUUGAUUCUAGGAAGUUGACAUGUACCUUGUUUGUCUACUGUUCCUAAUCUGUAUUGUACUAAUUUAGAUCAUAAGGUACCUGAGGCCAGGGCGCCUAUGUCUGUUUUGUACCUGAAUGUCAUUGUCUAAUAGAGGACCACGCACACUAUAGGCAAUCAAUAAAUCUUUCUUAAAUUGA